rnacentral:rRNA from 1 species
GUGGGGAAUUUUGGACAAUGGGCGCAAGCCUGAUCCAGCAAUGCCGCGUGCAGGAAGAAGGCCUUCGGGUUGUAAACUGCUUUUGUACGGAACGAAACGGCUCUGGUUAAUACCCGGGGCUAAUGACGGUACCGUAAGAAUAAGCACCGGCUAACUACGUGCCAGCAGCCGCGGUAAUACGUAGGGUGCAAGCGUUAAUCGGAAUUACUGGGCGUAAAGCGUGCACAGGCGGUUGUGUAAGACAGGCGUGAAAUCCCCGGGCUCAACCUGGGAAUUGCGCUUGUGACUGCACAGCUGGAGUGCGGCAGAGGGGGAUGGAAUUCCGCGUGUAGCAGUGAAAUGCGUAGAUAUGCGGAGGAACACCGAUGGCGAAGGCAAUCCCCUGGGCCUGCACUGACGCUCAUGCACGAAAGCGUGGGGAGCAAACAGGAUUAGAUACCCUGGUAGUCC